GUCAAACGGCUAAUAACAAAAAUAACUUUUGCCGUCAAAACGUCAUAUAAUAAUAGCGGAUAUAUAAUCGAGCGAUUAAUAACGCCUUAGUAAUCAUCAAAAAUAACCAUGAUAACCAUAUUAUUUGCGAAAAUGGGAAAAACACAGAAAAAUGGAAGUUCUUCAUCACCUUUUUUGUGUUGCACAGAAGACAAAAUGUUGGAAACAUCCUUUUAAUUUCUCAAAGUACAGCUCAUUUACCGACAGCAGAAUAUGUCCAGCUCUGAGAUCCACCAGAGUGGCACAUACAGCCGGAAACUCUUCUGUUCAUUUCGCCAACUUCAUGUAAGAGCAUGCCGGUGUUCAUGUCCAUCAGGAAGCGUCUGGAGGGCUCUGUUCCCUGCCUCUUCUCAUAAGCUGGAGGAUUGUAGACUGUGGAGAAAGUAACACACAAUUAAAGACUUACAGCCGGAAACUCUCCUGUUCAUUUCGCUGACUUCCUCCUUGAGCAUCCCAGUGUUCAUGUCCAUCAGGAAGCGUCUGGAGGGUUCUGUUCCCUGCCUGCGUAACUCAACAGGAACCGCUAUGUGGUUCUCCUUACGUUCAGAAGAGUCAUGGCUUUUUAUGUCCUCAUGCUCAGGGCUAGAAACCACUUGCCAUUUAGCUGCUAAUGAAGUUGAAAGGAAACAUGAGUCUAGGCAGUCAACCAUUGAGAUUUUUCUAUAAAGCACUUUGAUUGUAAUGUAUUACAUCAACAAAUAAUCUUUAAUUCAAUGGC